rnacentral:rRNA from 1 species
UACCUGCAGCCCGAGUGGUGGCCGUUAUUAUUGGGCCUAAACCGUCCGUAGCCUGUUUGGUAGAUGCCUGUGUAAAUCGAACGGCUCAACCGUUCGAACUGCGGGUAGACCGCCAGACUUGGGACCGGGAGAGUCACGAAGUACUCCGGGGGUAGAGGUGAAAUUCUGUAAUCCUCGGGGGACUACCGGUGGCGAAGGCGUCGUGAUAGAACGGCUCCGACGGUGAGGGACGAAGCCCUGGGGCGCAAACCGG